ensembl:snRNA U6 U6 spliceosomal RNA
GUGCUCGCUUCAGCAACACAUAUACUAAAAUUGGAACGAUACAGAGAAAAUUAGCAUGGCCCCUGCACAAGGAUGACAUACAAAUUCGUGAAGUGUUCCAUAUUUUA